rnacentral:rRNA from 1 species
UACGUAGGGGUCGAGCGUUGUCCGGAGUUACUGGGCGUAAAGCGCGCGCAGGUGGCUCGUUGCGCCCGGCGUGAAAGCCCCCGGCUUAACCGGGGAAGGUCGUCGGGGACGGGCGAGCUUGAGGGCGGCAGGGGCCGGUGGAACUCCCGGUGUAGUGGUGAAAUGCGUAGAGAUCGGGAGGAACACCAGAGGCGAAAGCGGCGACCUGGACAGGCACUGACACUCAACUACGAAAGCGUGGGGAGCAAACAGG